rnacentral:lncRNA from 1 species
AUGCCCCCAGACAGGAAGCAGUCAGGCUUUGAAGCUGAAAGGCUUUUCAAUGUUAAUCAAGGUGAUUGCAACAGUUACAGCUGCCUCAAACAACAAGAGUUCUUUCUCCCACCCUGGACCUUCUGCAGAUAUAUAAACCCCACUUGCAUGGUAUUCCAACAGACCUCACAACCUCUGAGGAUGCCUGCUAUAGAUGUGGGUGAAACGUCAGGAGAUAAUGCUUCUGGAACAUGGCCAUACCGCCCGGAAAACUCACAGCAACCCAGUGAUUGGCAUUCUCUUUUCCAAGCAGAAAGUCAGGGAUGGAGGGAUAACACCAUGUCAUUUCCAAAUUCAUUCUGUCAUAAAGGCAUGGGAAAUGUUUAUUAAACUGCAAAAUCUUUGCUUUUGCGGGUCAUCCUGCAGCACAUUUUGCUAUAGUUUUUCAAUGAAUAUCUCCUAGAGACUCAAGCAAUUCAACAUAGUUUUGGCAGCCACAAAAACAAAGUUUACGGAGUAUAACAGCUCCUUUCAAAGUAAGUGCCACACAAUUAAACAGGAAAUAUCACUUUCAAACCAGGAACAGAAAAUCAUUCAGAUUUUGUUACAUGGUAUAAUUAAACCAGUUUCUCACCUUCUUCCCCGGAGGCUGUUCUCCCAGAGGCUUUUCUCCAUGGUCCUAAUGUUAUCGAGCACAAAUAUGUUUUUGUCAGCAUAUUAUCUGAGAAUACAGAAAUGCUGAACCCUACUUUCUUAGUUUCCAACAGACCUCACACUUCUGAGGAUGCCUGCAAUAAAGGUGAGCAAAACGUCGGGAGAAAAUGCUUCUGGAACAUGGCCAUACAGCCUGGAAAACCCACAGCAACCUGUUUUGCGAGUCAUUAAGUUCAAGAAAAAUUCACUAAAUAUAAGCCAUAUAAAUAUGUAAAAAAUAAUGAUAUGCUAUUUUUUUAAUUGAACAAUAUUGUUUUAUUUUGACCAGUUUUAUCUGUGAGCCAUCUUAAGUCCCAUCCUGGGAGAAAGGUAGCAUAUAAAGAAAUAAAUAUG